rnacentral:lncRNA from 1 species
CAGAAAGGUAGCAAAAUUUAAUUGGAUAAAAGAAGAGGUGACCGCCCAUUUCUAGAUUUAAAUGGACAAUCAAGAAAAGAGGAAGGGAUUAGAGAGCGAUUAUCCCCAAAAACCCUACCUCAAAAUCCCCUGAAAAGCAUGAGUAAAAAAGAAAAAGUUAUUACAAUACGUUACGAAACACAUACUAACACUAAACACUAAAAUUUCUAUCGUCAUCCGCUAUGUCGUCAUUCGCAAAGGGACCGCCACCUGAAACACGACAAAAAAGAAGCUUCAAUUUAAAGGUAAUCAUUCAAACAUUCCUAUUCGAAAGCAUUCACACAACAUUUAUACAUACACAUUGUUGUACUUAUACUCCCUUAAACUAUCCUCGAAUCUAAUGUGUAUUGUGUCUAAUCGAAUGAGCUUUUCAUUUUAGUAAACCAAAAUCACCAAACCAAUAAAAUAAGUUUCAAAAAUUAACUACUGUUGCUGGAAAUUAUGCUAGAAAAAAAUCUAUAGCCAUCUUUUACCAGGGAUUCAAAAACCUACGGAACUCGUGAUAUAAUCGAGUCAAAAUACAGAUUAUUCGACUAAACAAGGUUGCUGAAAUUUCUUUAAAACAUUAGAAAAAAGCAAGAUUUCGAAAAAUAAAACUUAACUAGAACACGUAGACUACUACUACAACCCCAAUAACGAAACUAAGUCAGUUCCUUAGGCCGCUUAUCCACGAAAAACUUAACUAGAACACGUAGACUACUACUACAACCCCAAUAACGAAACUAAGUCAGUUCCUUAGGCCGCUUAUCAACGAAAUAUAAAUCAACACAAAUAGACUAGACUGAUUUUUUUACCAAGCUGCUUUCUCUCUAUCUCUGUUUCUCCACCGCUACCGUCGAUUUUCGUCCCUAACCAAGAUAUCAAAAGUAGAAAAAAUUAAAAAAUAUGUUUCAAACCCUAAAUCUAUAGAUCGGGGCUUGCAUUUUAUUGAAGCACUCGCCAGAGCCUCCUUCAAUAAUAUGCAAGCCCGGAUCUGGAUGAAAUCAAAAAAAUAAAAUAAAAAAGAAGGGUCAAGAGAUCUUUUACAUUUUCUUUCCUUCUUUUAGUAGGUGGUGGCUGAGAGAGGAGAGGCGAGACGGAGGCGGCGACGACGGCGGUCACCGCUGAAAAUUUGAGAAAAAUAGUGAAGGGGGAAGAGGCGGCCGAGAAAAAAAGAGGAGGAGAAGAGAGGAGAAAGGAAGGGGAAAAAGAAAAGAGAGGAGAAAAGGGGGGAGGAAGGAAAAGGGGGUGGCGAAAGCCGCUGUCGUCGAGAGGAAACAAAGAGAAAAAAAAGGAAGGAGAUGAAGAGGAGAAAAAAUAAAAGAAGAAAAAAAUGAAGAGGAAGAGCCGAGCGACGAUCGAGAAAAAGAGAAGAUAGAAGGAGAGGUAGAGAGAGGGGAGAGAUUUUAGAGAGA